rnacentral:piRNA from 1 species
UAGCGGCAGGCAUCCUCGUUGUGGUU